rnacentral:rRNA from 1 species
CCUACGGGAGGCAGCAGUGGGGAAUAUUGGACAAUGGGCGAAAGCCUGAUCCAGCAAUUCCGCGUGUGUGAAGAAGGCCUUCGGGUUGUAAAGCACUUUAGUGGGGGAAGAAACAGCUUGGCCACACCAAGCCUUGACGGUACCCCAAGAAUAAGCACCGGCUAACUCUGUGCCAGCAGCCGCGGUAAUACAGAGGGUGCAAGCGUUAAUCGGAUUUACUGGGCGUAAAGGGUGCGUAGGUGGCUAUUUAAGUCGGAUGUGAAAGCCCGGGGCUCAACCUCGGAAUUGCAUUCGAUACUGAGUGGCUAGAGUUCGGUAGAGGGCGGCGGAAUUUCCGGUGUAGCGGUGAAAUGCGUAGAUAUCGGAAGGAACAUCAAUGGCGAAGGCAGCCGCCUGGGCCUGGACUGACACUGAGGCACGAAAGCGUGGGUAGCAAACAGGAUUAGAUACCCUGGUAGUCCACGCCGUAAACGAUGAGAACUUGACGUUGGUUCGUUUUACGAAUCGGUGUCGCAGCUAACGCGAUAAGUUCUCCGCCUGGGGAGUCGGCCGCAAGGUUGAAACUCAAGGAAUUGACGGCUGAGACGNGCGAGACGACGACGAGGGAGAGG